AACGCACCUUGCGCUCCUUGGUAUUCCGAGGAGCAUGCCUGUUUGAGUGUCUUGAAGUCAUCAACCCCUCCCGUUUCGUGCGGAGAGGUGAGUUGGAUCUGGGGGCCUGCGACCGAAAGGCCGCUCCCCUCAAAUGAUUCGGUUGGGCCUGCGGGUCGAACUCGGUUGGGCGUUGUAACAACCUCGCUCUCGUCCGAGAUGUUCCCCUGUCAUCGUGCCCCUCCUCGACCGUCGGUUUGGAGCGACGGUCAAAACAACUUUGAAAUCUGACCUCAAAUCAGGUAGGACUACCCGCUGAACUUAA
rnacentral:misc_RNA from 1 species